UCCCCGUUCUCCUGGGCUGUCCUCUGUUGUCUAGCCCGGGUAAGGUUCUUCGCGUUGCGUCGAAUUGAACCACAUGCUCCACCGCUUGUGCGGGCCCCCGUCAAUUCCUUUGAGUUUUAACCUUGCGGCCGUAGUCCCCAGGCGGGGCACUUAAUGCGUUAGCUGCGGCACCGCAGGGGUCAAUACCCGCGACACCUAGUGCCCAUCGUUUACAGCGUGGACUAC
rnacentral:misc_RNA from 1 species